rnacentral:lncRNA from 1 species
AAAAAAACCAACCCUAAACGGUUGGAAUGAAAUUCUCCAGACCCUAAGCUUUGUUUCACAUGAAUUGUUUGCUAUGUUUUCACAGCUCGGGAGCUCUGCUGCCACCAGCUCUGACCUCCGUGGGCAAGAGUUGCUGCCUGAAAACUUCAUUUAUUGGUGAAACUCUCCAAAAUCUUUCUGGUUUCCUCUCCCUUGGAUUGCCAACUGUCUUCUGACCAGCAAGAGGAAAUGCUUGAACACGUGAGAGGUACCAGAGCUCUGCCAGGGGCUGCCUGACCGGCAGCUGUGCCAAACCACAGCUGUUUGAUCGUGAAGUGCAAGAGAGGAGCAGCGCGGCCGCAGCGUGGGCCCUGAGAGGCAGAGUGCAUCCAUCAAGCUUGACUCGGUGAUCCGUGUUGCUUUAUGGAGGUGGUAGAGCCAGCCCACCCUCGGAGGUGAGCCCUC